rnacentral:lncRNA from 1 species
AACGGUCACACAACACGCCGGAUGCACUCUUACACUUCAUCCAUCCAGCUUGUAUUCUAUGGUUGAGAUCUCCAUCUAAUUCUCCGUUCUCUUGCAAGAUAGAUCCUAGGUAGCGAAAACGGUCGCUUUUUGUGAUCUUCGCUAGAUUGCUCCGGUCAUUAGUGUGGAUAAGUAUAUAAAUGGAUAGAGAGAGGAAAGCAAACACAAGAUGUACGUGGUUCACCCAGAUUGGCUACGUCCACGAAAUAGAGGAGUUCUCAUUAAUUGUGAAGGGUUUACACAAGUACAUAGGUUCAAGCUCUCCUUU